CUAAUUUGGAGAUAAUCCAAAGCAAUUCCAAAUGCUUCAUUUUACCCUUAAACUUUCAGAAAAUGUUAAUUACAAUAUAAUUCCAAAUGCGGUCCCACUCAAAAAAUUGGCUAACCAUCCUAUUUUCCUUUCAGCAUGCUCUUCGGUGGAAAGCAGAUUAAUUACAAAAAGAAUUACAGUAUUCUUUAUUUUCUUUACUACAAUCAUUACAUUAGAUAGAAGAGAGAAAAUGAAGGUACCGUACAAAGUGCAGAGACUUUCGAG
rnacentral:misc_RNA from 1 species